GAUGAAGAACGCAGCCAAAUGCGAUACGUAAUGUGAAUUGCAGAAUUCAGUGAAUCAUCGAAUCUUUGAACGCACAUUGCACUCUCUGGUAUUCCGGAGAGUAUGCUUGUUUGAGUAUCUGUAAACAUCUCAAAUCUCUCUUCAAUUGCUUCAAUUGGGUCGAGAGAAUUGGAUUUGAGCGAUCCCGACUCCUUCGUCAGAAAGAGGAGGGUCGCUUGAAAUGCAGGUGCAGCUGGACAUUCUUCUGAGCAAAAAGCAUAUCUAUUUAGUCCCGUCAAACGGAUUAUUACUUUUGCUUCAGCUAAUAUAAAGGUUGAAUGAACUACCAACGCUGAUUGCAGGAAAACAUGUUCGUUUAUUCGGACUUGUAAACUCGAUCUCAAAUCAAGUAAGACUACCCGCUGAACUUAAGCAUAUCAAUAAGCGGAGGA
rnacentral:misc_RNA from 1 species